rnacentral:rRNA from 1 species
CGAUAACGAACGCCUCGAUAACGAACGCGCCUUAACCUGUUAAUAACCAGGCCGGCUUUUUGUGGUCGCAGGCUUUUUAGAGAGGGUGUCUGGGUUCACUGACGGAAGUUUGAGGCAAUAACAGGUCUGUGAUGCCCUUAGAUGUUUUGGGCCGCACGCGCGCUACACUGACAGAGCCAGCGAGUUUUUUUCCUUGGCCGGAAGGUCUGGGUAAUCUUGUGAAACUCUGUCGUGCUGGGGAUAGAGCAUUGCAAUUAUUGCUCUUCAACGAGGAAUACCUAGUAAGCGUAAGUCAUCAGCUCGCGUUGAUU